ACGUAGGGGGCAAGCGUUGUCCGGAAUGAUUGGGCGUAAAGGGCGCGUAGGCGGCCUGGUAAGUCUGGAGUGAAAGUCCUGCUUUUAAGGUGGGAAUUGCUUUGGAUACUGUCGGGCUUGAGUGCAGGAGAGGUAAGUGGAAUUCCCGGUGUAGGGGUGAAAUGCGUAGAGAUCGGGGGGAACCCCAGUGGCGAAGGCGACUUACAGGACUGUAUCCGAUGCUGAGGAGCGAAAGUGUGGGGAGCAAACAG
rnacentral:rRNA from 1 species